rnacentral:tRNA from 1 species
AUUUAAGUAGUUUAAUUAGAAUAAUAAUUUGUGAUAUUAUGGGUAUUGAUAUAAUCUUAAAUU